rnacentral:rRNA from 1 species
ACUCAAAUGAAUUGACGGGGAUUCGCACAAGCGGUGGAUCAUGUGGUUCAAUUCGACGACAACCGAGGAACCUCACCAGGGUUUGAAAUGUACAUGAAAUUCCGGUGAAAGCCGGAGCUUCUCACAAGGACAUGUGCACAGGUGCUGCACGGCCCUCGUCAGUUCGUGGUGUGAAUUGUUCCCUUAAGUGGGGUAACGAACGCAACCCCUAUUGCCUGUUAUAUGUGUCAGGCGAGACUGCCUCUUUUUAAGGGGAGGAAGGUGGGGACGACGCGAGGUCAGCGUGGCCCUUUGAUACCCUGGGCUACACACGUGAUACAAUGGCGCGUACAAUGGGUUGCCAAGCCGCGAGGCGGAGCUAAUCCCACCAAAACGCGCCCCAGUUCAGAUUGGAGUCUGCAACUCGACUCCAUGAAGUUGGAAUCGCUAGUAAGCGCAGAUCAGCUACGCUGCGCUGAAUACGUUCUCGAAUCUUGUACACACCGCCCGU